rnacentral:rRNA from 1 species
UAAUACGGGGGGGGCAAGCGUUGUUCGGAAUUACUGGGCGUAAAGGGCGCGUAGGCGGCUGAGCAGGUCCGGUGUGAAAUCCCUCGGCUCAACUGAGGAAUUGCGCUGGAAACCGCUUGGCUCGAGUACAGGAGAGGAGGGCGGAAUUCCCGGUGUAGCGGUGAAAUGCGUAGAUAUCGGGAAGAACACCGGUGGCGAAGGCGGCUCUCUGGACUGUAACUGACGCUGAGGCGCGAAAGCGUGGGGAGCGAACGGG